rnacentral:lncRNA from 1 species
UGUUCAUUUUCUCGGUUUGUCGACGGUGCUAGCUAGCUAGGCAGCCUUUCCUUUUGGAUUCAUUUGAAGUACGAUACAUGCGCUGCCUCUUUUCACGACGGAAGGAGCUCCCACGCCCGCCACCGGGUCUGCCACAGAGAAUUUCUUGUGUCAUUUGGGUGAAUAUAGAUAGCGACAUACGGGUGGAUACAGUUGUGACUCACUCCCUUCUCAACAGUAAAGAUCUUGUAUGUCAUUAGUCGUACAGAGUAAUAUGUCACGCGGUUGUAUACAUCCAACAAGAAUGCGAAAUCUUCCCUCAAUGUCCUAAGAGAGUUCUAGAACCAUGAGAGUUAAGAAGCUUUAGAAUUGAAUAUGGACCUAGAGUAUACAAAAUGUUUUGAACUAGUUGGUAAGUAAGCAUACUUAACCACCCACUUAAGAACAGAAAACCCCUUUGAUUAGAAAGGGAAAGAAGUCCCACCAUUUUCAAAGGAACUUCAACGCUUUUCUUGUCCAUUGCGGUCCUUCAAGAAAAGUGAAUUUUUCUUUUCAUGCGCAUCACUAGUAGUUAUUGUAAAACUAUAAAUAUAUCAAAUUAAUGGGCUACUUCAUAACUACGAAAAUAAACCACUUCUGAUAACAUUUGACAAUAAAAUUUACAAGUACGCUGUAUCGAAAAACCAAAAAUUAUAAGUGUUUUUAUCACUUUUGGAGAACAUUUUCUUCAAUAAAACACUUGAAGUUGUUGUUUAAACACUUUUAAUCAAAACGCUUACAAACGAAAGUGUUUUUUUUAUUUUAUACAGAAGAAGUCCCAAAUAAGCACUUGAGCAUAACUUAAUUUAAAGAAGUUAAUCCAAUUAUUGCAAAUUAAGUCAGGUUAGACGCAUUUGAAUAUUAAUCAAAUAUUAAUUAACUCAGAGUAACAUCAACCUAGGCAAUGCUGUUAUGGUGACUCAAGUACUACUCUAACCCAAAGGGUGGACUUGAUGUUGAUGGAGAAGCAUAUGCACGAUGUGAACUUAUUUGAUGACUGUAAUUUCACCAAGCCAAUUAAUUAACUUAUAUGUUGAUCAACUUGUUUAUACCAUAUUUAGGGCCUCGUAUUUAGACCUCGUAUAAAUACUCGGGGAACUUAAAUGUAAUUAUGUAAUAAAGUAAGGGGCAAAUAUGUAAUUAGGGGAGGAGCCCUUAUUCUAUAAAAGGGCCUCCUCACCCUCACAAACCAUAAGUCUCUCCUAUCUAGAGCAAAGCUCUCACACUCUCUCCCUCACAAAUACUCUCGGAUAAAUACAAUCAAUGUGGACGUAGCCCAAACCUUGAGGUGAACCACGAUACAUCUUGUGUUAUUUACAUUACAUGCAGAUUCAUGGUCGGAUUUACGUUGUUCCAAGACCUCCGGUUUUGUGCAUCAACAUUUGGCGCCGUCUGUGGGAAUCAAUACAAAAAGUUGUGUCGUUUCUCUUUCGUUUUUUUUCACCUCCGCCGUGAAUCUGCAAAAUCACAAAAAUCCCGGAAACAGAAAAAUCCAAUCCUUUCUCCCAUUUUUGUUCCAUCAACACUUUGUAUGAUUAACAAAACACAGUCUCUGAAUCCCAAACCCUGUUUUGAAGCUCUCCGUUUUCUGCCAUGGCCACCAGCAUUGGCUCCCUAGACUCGUCAAAACCUGCCAACAACUGUAUCGGCUGCCCUCCCUAAAACAGUGCUACCAUCAUACAGAAUCGGUGUUAGAUAGCUUCAAAUUCCAACUUCCUAAUUGCGAUCGGAAAACCCAUUUUUUAAGCAAAAUGAUGGGGAAGAGCCAACCGCCGCCGCCGCAGCAGCAACACAUGUCAAUGAAAGACAGUGUACAAGCUCCAACUUGAUCUCCUCGAAGGAGUCAAAACCCUUAACCAACUCUCCUUGGCCGGUUCAAUCAUCUCCCGCUCCGAUUACAGUGACGUCGUCACGGAGCGCACCAUAGCCGACCACUGCGGCUACCCUCGUUGCCCCAGUGCCUUGCCUUCGGAAUCCUCCCGCCCCCGCAAAGGCCACUAUCGCAUUUCACUCAAAGAGCACAAGGUUUACGACCUUCAUGAGACCUACAUGUACUGCUCUUCGAGCUGUCUCAUCGGAAGCAAGGCUUUUGCUCAGAGUUUGAGCUAGGAGAGGCGCGAUGUCUUGGAUUAUGGCAAGGUUGAGAAGGUCUUGAGAGCUUUUGAGGAUGUGGGUUUGGACAAAGAGGAAGUGGGAUUGUGGGAAACUGGGGAUUUGGGAAUUUCGAAGUUGAAGAUCGAAGAAAAGAGCGAAGCGGAGAUUGGGGAUUUGGGGAUUUCGAAGUUGAAGAUUGAAGAAAAUAGUGAAGUGCAGUUAGGGGAUGUAGGCAUGGUUGGUCCCUUUAACGUUAUUGAGGGCUAUGUUCCACACAAUCAACGGAUAUCCAAGCCAUUGGGUUCGAAAAAUAACAAAAAACCUUUCUAGGGGGAUUUGAUGAAUGUCUUGAUUUCCUGGAAUACUCGGAUGACAAUCGAGAUGACUGGGAAGAAGCUUUAGUUGGCUGGGUUGGUGUCUUUAAAAGGAUAAAGGAAGAGAGGAAAAUGCCCCAAAAUUAUUAGGAUCCAUGGAAUCUAGUGAAGGUCCAUUGCAGAACUCCGGCGAGUCGCAGAGAGAAACCGUUGUUUUUCCGACCAAGGUUCGUUGGGAAUUUUGUGAAGCCACCAUUCGACCCACCAGAAAGGAGCAGCAAAGAUAAAGAAUGUCAGUGUUCUCAAAGUCAUAGAUACAUGGUGGGCUUCACGUGAAGGUGACGAUGAAGUUGCAGCUUUUGUGCACAGACAGGAGCAAAAGCAAAAGCAAAGCAACCAUGCCGAAAUCAACGAGGCCAUCCCUUCAGCAUUAAAGGAGCCACGUGCUGCACCGAGGCCAUGAGAGCCCCUACCACGAUGUUUUCUAUUUCUGUCACGAUGACCCCUACUGCCCUUAAUCAUGUUAUCAAACGACAUAUCCAAAGUAGAAAGCAAAAAGAAAAGCAAAAACCAAAAAGAAAAGCAGAAAGCAAAAGCAAGGAAUAAACACCCCACCAGAAUGAUGUGAUUUACUUUUCUUGUUUUUGUAUGAUGUGAUUUAUUUGUUAUCUUUUGGAGACAUCUGUAUAAACCCCAUUAGAGGGUAAAAAAAAAGCCCAAAAUAAUGGGCUGACAUGUUGUGGAGAGCAAAGGCCCAUAAGCCCAAAAUAGCACCAACCAGGUCAUCAAAAGUACGCCAGUACUCCCCAAUUAUUCGGCAACCCGCUGCUAUUGCCACCAACCAGGUGAUGAGAUGUACAACCCGUACUCUAAAUUGGCAACUAGCCAUUCAUGCCACCAACCAGGUGAUCAAAAGUACGCCCAGUACUCCAAAUUAUACAUGAGCAUUACUCAUGUCAUUCAUACAUAAACAUUCAUGAGCAUCACUCAUGACAAUCAUACAUAAACAUUCAUGAUCAUCAUUCAUGUCAACAUUCAUGAGCAUCACUCAUGACAACAUCCAUGAGCAUCACUCAUGACAACAUUCAUAAGCAUCACUUAUGUCAAUCAACAUAAACAUUCAUGAGCAUCACUCAUGUCAAUCAGUUUCAAAAGCUUCAUUUACAAAAGCUCUAGCUUCAAAAGCUUCAUUUACAGAGCUCUAGCUUCAAAAGCUUCACUUGCAAAGCUUCACCCACAAAGUUUCAGGGCAGGGUAUACAAUACCGCCUCCGAACAUCUAGCCACUUCGGCCCAUACAUGGAUUCAAUUUGAAGUCUCCAGCCAACAGACUCUAUUGACCGAAGACUUGGGGGACUACAUUAUGUACCAUAUAUUGGGCCUCAACUAGGCCUCAUGAAAAAUACUUGAGGGACUUAGCCCAUUAUUUAUGUAUCAAGGAGCGAGCCCCUAUUCUAUAAAAGGGACUCCCUCACUUUCAUUAGAGAGCACCCAUUAUUCAUGUACUGAGGAGCGAUCCCUUAUUUUAUAAAAGGGACUCCCUCAACAUCAUUAGAGAGCAACGGCGCUAGCUGAGCAACCGCCCGCCGCGAGCAUCACUCCUAACCCAUCACUUAUGUAUUGAGGAGCGAACCCUUAUUCUAUAAAAGGACUCCCUCACCACCAUUAGAGAGCAUCAACUCUAGCCCAUCAUUCAUGUAUUGAGGAGCGAGCCCUUAUUCUAUAAAAAGGACUCCCUCAUCUUCAAACGCCGCAAGCCGAGCCAACCAAGGCAACAUAAGCCACGAACCGAGCAGCCGAGCAGCGUGUGCUACUUCUAGUUGAGCGUCAUUUCAGAUUGAGCACUGCCUCAUAUCGAGCAUCAGUUCAAGACAGCAUCUAGUUACUUCGGCCCACACAUGGACUGAAUUUCAAGUCUCCAGCCAAAAGACUCUCUUGACUGAAGACUUGGGGGACUACUGUUUAUACCAUAUUUAUGGCCUCGUAUUUAGACCUCAUAUAAAUACUCAGGGGACUUAAAUGUAAUUAUGUAAUAAAGGAAGGGGCAAAUAUGUAAUUAGGGGAGGAACCCUUAUUCUAUAAAAGGGCCUCUUCACCCUCACAAACCCUAAGUCUCUCCUAUCUAGAACAAAGCUCUCACACUCUCUCCCUCACAAAUACUCUCGGAUAAAUACAAUCAAUGUGGACGUAGCCCAAACUUUGGGGUGAACCAUGAUACAUCUUGUGUUAUUUACAUACAUGCAGAUUCACGGUCGGAUUUACGUUGUUCCAAGACCUCCGAUUUUGUGCAUCAACACAACUAAUAUGAUUUUUUACCAUGCCCAUUCAAUUUAUUGAAAAAGAAUCUCAGCAAAUGAACUUUGACCAUAUGGUUUAUCUCUAAUUGUGUAUUUUUAAGUACAAUUAGGAAGGUACAUUUAAGGUUUAGUUUCUUGGCAGUAUUCUAUUAGGAGAUGACCUAAACGUGGUUAUAUAUAUAUAUAUUAUUAUUUUUUUCACCAAACGAUAUUAUAUACACUAAGGAGUGGGAAAAUGAGUUAAGUUUCACAAUAGGCAAGCAAUAAUGUUAUUCAAAUUCAUCUUUGGCAAUAAUCAAACCUAAAUUCUCUCACUUACAAGUGAAAAUGAAUACUAUUAGACCACAAUGUUUAAACACUAAUUAAGUUAUGAAAGAGCUACCUUAGCUUAGCAAAUAAUAUCAACUUGUGUUGUUUAUUUAAUGGAAAUAAUUAAAGUAAUUAGGUGUUUUGCUUUUGUGAGAGCAACUCCACCCAUGGUGGUUGCUCGGGGGACAGGGUCCAGGAAAGGGCCCGAGGGCCGGUGGGUAGGCCUCCAGCCUUGGAGAGCCCGAGUUGCAGGGUCGUGAAGGAUUGACAGGCCUGGUGCUCGAGGCCUGUGACGUCAGGCUGACGCAAGGCUUGCGUCCGGCCUUUUUUAAAAAAAAAAUUUGUGUUAGGCGCGUGCCCCUCACUCGCGA